CUUAAUUUUCUCACUCUGAGGUUCAGACGCUUGAGUAGUUGAAAGAGGAGCAGUUACAUCUGAGAUCCUAUAUCAGGGCACGUGAAUCACACCCUCACCCCCAGGUCCACUCAGUUCUGACUGAGGGACUCUACCAGCCAAAGAGCAAGGCUGCAGCAAUCUUUUCCUCUCUUGCGAAAGUUGUCAUACACAUUGUCCCCCUCCUUUGGUGCUAUCUUCUUUAGGGGACAAAUAGCAAAAUCACAGGAGAAAGUGCUGGGGAAGUUGUGUUCUGUGGGGUUGCAGUCCUUUCUUGUUCUUUUGUCUUUAGAGUGCUAGCCACAACAGGAGUCUGGAACUCAGUUCUCCAGAAUCCAGUUCCAGGGCUAUGGAAACCAAGUUCCCCAAGGUCCCCAAACUCCUCUCUCUUUGUCCUCCAUUUGGUGGCAGGGACUUCUUAUGUAUUUGGGAAACAAGGAAUAGCAGCUCAGCCUUGCUACCAGCAAAGCUUCCCUCCUGAAAACAAUUUUUCACUCUCAGGCCAAUCAGCUGUGUCUGUGGAGAAAGGUGUGGAGUCACAUGGAGAUGCAGUUUGUGGGAAAUACAGAGAACAGCUUCCCUUAGAAGCCCUCGUGGGCAGGUAUCAGGUGAGCUGGUAAAGGAUUAACAACUGGUUCUGGGGUGGAAGAGUUGUAGAAUCCUGAUGUAGAGCAUUUGCAGAUUUCCAUGGUGUACUCCCACCGUGGUGAUUUCAAGCUACCAAUGUGACAUUACUGAUUGCAAAGUUGGGAAACAAUGCAUGGUGGCAUAUCAAAAAUAUGCAUGGUGGCAUAUCAUCAUAUAGAAUUUCCACUAUCCACAUACAAAAGACACAAUAGACAAUAGUAAAAUAGCUGGGAAGUGAUAAGUUUUUAGCACUUAUUUCCUCUUAUAUUCAUAUUUACCUAAUAAAUGUAAAUUAUAGAUCUAAUUGUAAGUUUUUAUAAUUUAUUUUUUAAUAAUGUCUCUAUUUAAUAACUGGAUCAAAAAUUCCUGCAAAUGUAACAGUCAGCUGUAUUUUUAAUAAUGUCUCUAUUUAAUAACUGGAU